AUGACCGAAGUGCAUUCUCAUUGCCAUUGUUAUGUUGAUAUACUUUUUGAUGACUUAUUGGUGGGGAAACUCGACCAUUUUUGGUCAAAGGUUUGAAAACUUUGAGGAUAUGGAAUUUUUUUUUCUUGCAGGAUGUUACGAUUCUUAUUCCAAUGCUGUCAUCCUUGUCCAAAACUGAGGAACAAUCACUAGCUAAUGUGAAUAAUAUGAUGCAAAUGAAGACAAAACAUCGAUGUGAAUCAAAAUCAAUCCUGGUCAGGGUAUACAGCUCGAUUCAAGAUUUGAUAUGGACGUGUUUGGUAAUUUGGAGGGCAGAUGGUAGCUCAUUUUGUGUUUUUGUUCAUAUUACCUUACAUGUAUUUUGGUUGUGUUGUAAAUUUUAUAUUUUUGUUGGUAUUACGGGGCAUGUUUGG